GCGCGAAAACUUUACAAUGCUGGCAACAGCGAUAAGGGAACCUCGAGUGCCAGGUUACAAAUCUGGCUGUCGCGAUGCCUAAAAAGCAUUACAUAGCAAGGGCCGGGCAAGACCGGUGCCAGCCGCCGCGGUAACACCGGCGGCCCGAGUGGUAACCGUUAUUACUGGGUCUAAAGGGCCUGUAGCCGGCCGGAUAAGUCUCUUGGGAAAUCUGGCAGCUCAACUGUCAGGCUUUCAGGAGAUACUGUCUGGCUCGAGGCCGGGAGGGGUGGGAGGUACUUCAGGGGUAGGGGUGAAAUCUUGUAAUCCUUGAAGGACCACCAGUGGCAAAGGCGUCUCACCAGAACGGACCUGACGGCAAGGGACGAAAGCU
rnacentral:rRNA from 1 species